GACGAACGCUGGCGGCGUGCUUAACACAUGCAAGUCGAACGGAGAAUUUAUUUCGGUAAAUUCUUAGUGGCGAACGGGUGAGUAACGCGUGGGCAACCUGCCCUUCAGAUGGGGACAACAUCCCGAAAGGGGUGCUAAUACCGAAUACGAUCACGCUGCCGCAUGGCGGUGUGAUGAAAGAUGGCCUCUAUUUAUAAGCUAUCGCUGAAGGAUGGGCCUGCGUCUGAUUAGCUAGUUGGUGGGGUAACGGCCUACCAAGGCGAUGAUCAGUGGCCGGUCUGAGAGGAUGAACGGCCACAUUGGGACUGAGACACGGCCCAAACUCCUACGGGAGGCAGCAGUGGGGAAUAUUCCGCAAUGGACGAAAGUCUGACGGAGCAACGCCGCGUGAGUGAUGAAGGUUUUCGGACUGUAAAGCUCUGUUGUUUAGGACGAAAGUGCCUGUUGCAAAUAGUUGCAGGUAUUGACGGUACUGAACGAGGAAGCCACGGCUAACUACGUGCCAGCCGCCGCCGUAAGAC
rnacentral:rRNA from 1 species